rnacentral:rRNA from 1 species
UACGGAGGGUGCAAGCGUUGUUCGGAAUCAUUGGGCGUAAAGCGCGUGUAGGCGGCUUGGCAAGUCGGUUGUGAAAGCCCGGGGCCCAACCCCGGAAUUGCAUCCGAAACUGCCUGGCUAGAGUCCCGGAGAGGAAGGCAGAAUUCCCGGUGUAGGGGUGAAAUCCGUAGAUAUCGGGAGGAAUACCAGCGGCGAAGGCGGCCUUCUGGACGGUGACUGACGCUGAGACGCGAAAGCGUGGGGAGCAAACAGG